ACGGGAGGCAGCAGUGGGGAAUAUUGCACAAUGGGGGAAGCCCUGAUGCAGCGACGCCGCGUGAGUGAAGAAGUAUUUCGGUAUGUAAAGCUCUAUCAGCAGGAAAGAAAAUGACGGUACCUGACUAAGAAGCCCCGGCUAACUACGUGCCAGCAGCCGCGGUAAUACGUAGGGGGCAAGCGUUAUCCGGAUUUACUGGGUGUAAAGGGAGCGUAGACGGCUUUGCAAGUCUGAAGUGAAAGCCCGGGGCUCAACCCCGGAACUGCUUUGGAAACUGUUAAGCUAGAGUGCAGGAGAGGUAAGUGGAAUUCCUAGUGUAGCGGUGAAAUGCGUAGAUAUUAGGAAGAACACCGGUGGCGAAGGCGGCUUGCUGGACAGAGACUGACGCUGAGGCUCGAAAGCGUGGGGAGCAAACAGGAUUAGAUACCCUGGUA
rnacentral:rRNA from 1 species